rnacentral:rRNA from 1 species
ACCCGGUCUAGUUAGCACUUUAUACUGUGAACUGCGAAUGGCUCAUUAAAUCAGUUAUCGUUUAUUUGAUAGUACCUUACUACAUGGAUACCUGUGGUAAUUCUAGAGCUAAUACAUGCUAAAAACCUCGACUUCGGAAGGGGUGUAUUUAUUAGAUAAAAAACCAAUGCCCUUCGGGGCUCCUUGGUGAUUCAUAAUAACUUAACGAAUCGCAUGGCCUUGCGCCGGCGAUGGUUCAUUCAAAUUUCUGCCCUAUCAACUUUCGAUGGUAGGAUAGUGGCCUACCAUGGUGGCAACGGGUAACGGGGAAUUAGGGUUCGAUUCCGGAGAGGGAGCCUGAGAAACGGCUACCACAUCCAAGGAAGGCAGCAGGCGCGCAAAUUACCCAAUCCCGACACGGGGAGGUAGUGACAAUAAAUACUGAUACGGGGCUCUUUUGGGUCUCGUAAUUGGAAUGAGUACAAUCUAAAUCCCUUAACGAGGAACAAUUGGAGGGCAAGUCUGGUGCCAGCAGCCGCGGUAAUUCCAGCUCCAAUAGCGUAUAUUAAAGUUGUUGCAGUUAAAAAGCUCGUAGUUGAACCUUGGGUCUGGCUGGCCGGUCCGCCUCACCGCGAGUACUGGUCCGGCUGGACCUUUCCUUCUGGGGAACCUCAUGGCGUUCACUGGCUGUGGGGGGGAACCAGGACUUUUACUGUGAAAAAUUAGAGUGGUCAAAGGAGGGCUGUUGCUCGAAAUACAUUAACCAUGGAAUAAA